UAAGCCUCGUGCUCAGAGUACGAGGGGGUUUUACAUGAGAUAAUCAAUGCUGUUAUACUAAGUGCACCGAAAAAACUUGCCAAAUUCACAGUUGAAAGAGAGACUGAGCAAACAUGGUCAUUUGAUAGAAUUUUUCUACCCCGGGCAACACGAGAUUCUAGUGAAAUUAACUCUACAAGAUGUGGGCAAUAAUUCAAUAAAGUAAAAUGGAUUUCUACAAUGCCAAAAUGUUAGGAGAGAAGACUGUACUAGAUGAGAUGGCUAAUCCUUAUUAUCCAGGAGCUUCUAUAACUUCCAAUCCUUGGAUCCUGAGUGAUGACUUCAGAUGUUCGUAAUCCACUUUCAAUCUUAAUUCUGAUACAGGAUGAUCAAAUCAUGUACGUUGACAAGGCAGAUUAAACUCACUUGAAGAAGCCUCUACUAGUUCUCUUGGCUUCAAGUCCAACAAAGAAAACUGAUGGUCUGCUAAUUCAUCGUCACUGCUCUCAGCCUGUCAA